rnacentral:ncRNA from 1 species
UAAAGCCAAGGGCAAACCCGGUGAAAACCGGGGCCGCAAAGCCGCAGGGUCUAAGGUGCUGAAUGCGCUAUGAUAGUCUGGCUGCAAAA